rnacentral:rRNA from 1 species
GACGAACGCUGGCGGCGUGCUUAACACAUGCAAGUCGAACGGAGAGGCCCUGCUUUUGUGGGGUGCUCGAGUGGCGAACGGGUGAGUAACACGUGAGUAACCUGCCCUUGACUUUGGGAUAACUUCAGGAAACUGGGGCUAAUACCGGAUAGGAGCUCCUGCUGCAUGGUGGGGGUUGGAAAGUUUCGGCGGUUGGGGAUGGACUCGCGGCUUACCAGCUUGUUGGUGGGGUAGUGGCUUACCAAGGCUUUGACGGGUAGCCGGCCUGAGAGGGUGACCGGCCACAUUGGGACUGAGAUACGGCCCAGACUCCUACGGGAGGCAGCAGUGGGGAAUAUUGCACAAUGGGCGGAAGCCUGAUGCAGCAACGCCGCGUGCGGGAUGACGGCCUUCGGGUUGUAAACCGCUUUCGCCUGUGACGAAGCGUGAGUGACGGUAAUGGGUAAAGAAGCACCGGCUAACUACGUG